rnacentral:rRNA from 1 species
AAUGAACGCUGGCGGCAGGCCUAACACAUGCAAGUCGAGCGGAUGACGGGAGCUUGCUCCUUGAUUCAGCGGCGGACGGGUGAGUAAUGCCUAGGAAUCUGCCUGGUAGUGGGGGACAACGUUUCGAAAGGAACGCUAAUACCGCAUACGUCCUACGAGAGAAAGCAGGGGACCUUCGGGCCGUGCGCUAUCAGAUGAGCCUAGGUCGGAUUAGCUUGUUGGUGAGGUAAUGGCUAACCAAGGCGACGAUCCGUAACUGGUCUGAGAGGAUGAUCAGUCACACUGGAACUGAGACACGGUCCAGACUCCUACGGGAGGCAGCAGUGGGGAAUAUUGGACAAUGGGCGGAAGCCUGAUCCAGCCAUGCCGCGUGUGUGAAGAAGGUCUUCGGAUUGUAAAGCACUUUAAGUUGGGAGGAAGGGUUGUAGAUUAAUACUCUGCAAUUUUGACGUUACCGACAGAAUAAGCACCGGCUAACUCUGUGCCAGCAGCCGCAGUAA